GCACAGCACAGCACAGCACAGCACAGCACAGCACAGCACAGCACAGCACAGCACACAUCUGUUCCUUAGUAUGUUGUCACAGACAGAUGAUAAUGGCUACCAGUGCACCAUAUUGUCUUGAGAUAAACUUCAAGUCCAGAUUGUGUGCCUGCCACAGCAGGAAAAGAAUGUCUCAUUUUCUUUGGCACAAGCAAUCCUCUGUUUCUCAGGACUCUAGCAAGUGACAUCACCACAAGUUUUAUAUUGGUCCUCCUGGAAGAACAUUGCUGGAGGAAAGGCCUCUCAGAACAUAUUCGUACAUCAUUUCAAAAGAGUCCAAAACUCUACCCUUUUCCAUUACUCAACACGUGUUCAUUGCAGUGGACAAAUCACCAUUUCUCAAGCUAAGAAGCCAUACAUUUGAAAUUAAAGAUGGCUAAGAUUCUCCUCUUUGGGAUCGUUGGCCUGCUCUUUGGCACUAUAGCUCAUUGUACCUGGUGCUACAAUAGCUUCCAGAGAUUUCCUGGUCCAUUUACUGCUGCCUGUUAUGCUUGCAGCACAGAUCAUUGUUUCAAGAAAUCUCUUUAUGGAGGUAAAACAUGGAGCUCCAAGGCAAUGUGUGUGUGUGUGUGUGUGUGCGUGUUGAGGUGGGUUGGAAUUUCAUGCGGUCCCCCUACCUUUCCUCUUUUUCUCCCCCAUCAAACUUUUAUUUUUAAAAUAUAUUCUUCCUUUGAACCACCCAAUACACCACGGACCACAGUGACAUUAAAGGCAGCCAAACAGAGAUUCACGAAAUAGAAGACAUAAUCUAUAAAGAAAUCACAUGUUGCUGCAAAAAUUCUCACUGCAAUGCUUUUACUCCAUCCAAGUACCUUCCAGAAGACAGAGAGAUUUCGAAGAACCUUCCAUUAUCACAGGGAGACAUCUGCUUCUCAGAAGCCCUCCAUCCAUCAUGCAGUGUCCUUCGGUAGUAUCCCA